rnacentral:misc_RNA from 1 species
GAAAGAUCUCAGGUAUUGGUAUUUCUGAUUAUUUUAUUUGGUUUAAUGUAGUAAUCGAUGAAUUUGUGUGUUUUGACACACGAUUGGUGAUUUGGUCAUUUCGGCGUUGUUUAUUAAGGGACUAUGUAACUGGUUUUCACAAGAGGAAGAAAAAGAGAAGAAAGGAAGCCCAAAAGAAGCAAGAGGAGGCCUUGCGGCGCAAGCGUAUCGAGGAGCGCAAAAAGGUAUAUAUAUCCAUUGUUUCUUACGUUUAUGCUUGCAAUUGAUAGUUUUAUGUAGCAUCAAAAUGGGAUAUCUGUUGUUGCUGGCAAUAGUGAGUAUAUUAAUGUCACUGUAUGAAGUAUGAUACAGUAGGCGGCCUUUUUUCGAAGCUAUUAAUAUUGAUAACGCCAAACUGCUAGUUUAUGGUGAAAAACUAGAAAUUUCGGGUUUCGUUUCAUGGUCAUUAAAUUGAUAUUGUUUGAUAAGCUGUCACCACUAGUGCUUUGUUCUUAAAUCUUAAGAAGUUUUGAUUGCGUUUGGGUGCAAAUGUAUGGGUUUUUAAUGUAAUUGGCAUAUGGUUGACCUGUUAAUUGGGAGCAAGUUUUUUUUUUUAAGAAGGUUAAGGUUUGUGAGGGUUUUUAAAGGUUUUCAAAACCUCAAAAAUUAUGACUUUUUCAACCUUUGGUGAGUUGGGGAGGUUUUGAUGGGAAAUAAAAUUUUCAUUAUCUAUAUUGUCUUCAGUGCGUUUUAAAAUUCUAAAUUUGUCCUUAUUUAAAUAUUAAAACAUAUAUCUUCACACAAUAAAAGUAUUUAUGCAAUUUUUACACUUUACUUUACCUUUUCAUGCCUUCCAUUAAAGAAGUUACUAAACCAUCAUGUACCAUACUUUCCUCUCAAACAAGAUGGAGUUAAAUAUUUUAUCGUACUAUAUUUUAAAAAAUCGUACCUUACUUCUUUCACUCCUCCCAAUCAGAAAUAUCAGAUGAACCAAGGAAAUAGUAGUUGAAGAAUUGCUUAUUCCAUCAGGCUGCGUUUCAGAGAAUGGCAUUAAUAAAUAUGUUGUUUUUUUCAAAAGAUAGAUAAUGGAACUCAAAGUGAUAUAGUCUUUUGCAGGGAACCCACAGUGUUCUUUUUAUGUUUUAAUAGAUUUUGAUAGUCAGAUGAAAACCUGAGAUUCUCUAUUUGUUUGAAGGUACAAACAUUGGCCAGGUGAGUAUGUAACAUGCAUGUGUGCAUGUACUUAGCUUGUAUACAAGAAUAUAUUUCCAACUAAAGAAAUUACAUAAUGGCAAGCAGCUUCAGUUUGUGUACUUUCUGUUCACUAAUUUUGCACUUGGUGUUGAGAAAGCAGAUAGUACCCUGGUGAUACUUUGGCAUCCUUUAAAUUAUAGUUUUGGCCAGAUUGCAAAUGCUGAAUGAGUAUUUGCACAUUGUUUUUGGAGAUCUUUGGUAGAAUCUUCUGUUUGGGUUUGGUUUGUCCCCAUGAAAUUAGUGAGAUUCAAGAGAAAACUAAUCCUCUUUUGACAUCAGAAGGAAAAAAAUUGCCUGAAAUUUGUUAAAAAUGAAUACCUGUGAGAGGUAUAUCUAAUUCUGCCACCAGCUCCUUCAAGGUUUCUAGGUUUUUUUUUUUUUUUUUCUUCCUUGUCAUAAUCCUUCCCAAUCAGAUCAAUUCGCUAUCUUAUGUAGUUAUUGAACCUUUUUCAAUAAAAAUUUCUGAAGCAAGUGAAGAUAGUUUAUCAAAGGGUGUGAAGUUUAUCAAAGGGUGUGAGUGAAAUCCUUCUAUCAUAUUUUUUAUUACUUUAUUGCUGAAUUUGCCUAUGUUAUAUUUCAUAUGGCACUGCAAUGUAUCAAUUGCUUGCAUUUAAUCGAACAGAAUUUCUUGAGUUUUCAUUGUUUUAACCUUGCUGCCUGACAUUUGUUGUAGAGGAAGCUGGAAAGAGAACUCGUGUUAUAUGGAGAAGCUCCACCAGCAUCUGUUGGUGGUGAUGAGUAUAAUGAGGAUGGUGAAGAAAGUGAACCAAUUGCAUCAGUCAAUGGGACAAUGGAAUAUGACAAUGGGGACAUGAAAGUCACUGUGACAACUACUGAGAUUUCUCGAGAAGAUAAGGAUGACCACGGUGGAAAGAUGCAAACAGCAGUGCCAAUGCCAAGAUUGGCUGGAGAUGAUAAGAAGCACAAUUUAUCUGUUAGCAAAAAGAAAUCAUUUAAGAAAGUCUCAAAGCACAACUCGAGGUCAAAGCCACAUAAUAAAAGAGAUAGAAGGAAGGGAAAGAAAAAGAACAAGAAGUGGUAAUUGUCCUCCUGCCAAAUGAAUUGUGGAUGUGAAUAGAGAACAUAACUAGCACAAUUGUUGAGUGCAUCCUGCUAGGCCAUUUAAACUUAAAGUCAUAUUCAUAGUUUGGCAAUUUGAAGGGUAGGUGAUGUUCGCUCAUGGUAUCGAGUGAUAUAUUCUUUGCCAACAGUUCAUUAAAUUUUGAAUCGGGUGUAUUUGAACAGUUUCUGUUGUGAAUUCUUUUUGUACACUUCUUUUAAUGUCAUGCCAAACUGGCAGUAGUUAUGGUUUAAUUACAAUAUGCUUUCUUCAAUGUUUUCUUGCAAUUGAUUUCUGACGCAUGUUUCAUGCCUUGCCUUGUCUUCCAAUGUAAUAAUUCUUGGAGUUUGGGUGAAUUUGUGAGAGAUGUUAGGGAUAAUCAUGCUGUUAUUGUCCAAUUUGACUUGGUUUGCCUUGUAUUUGUCUUGUAUUAAGUACAAGCUGUCAUAUGCAGAACAGUGAGCGGGGUAAUGGUGUAUGGUUCUGUGCUGAUGGCACAUGUAUU